rnacentral:rRNA from 1 species
GACGAACGCUGGCGGCGUGCUUAACACAUGCAAGUCGAACGGGUCUGCCCUGUUUUUUGCGGGGUGGGUCAGUGGCGAACGGGUGAGUAACACGUGAGUAACCUGCCCCUCACUUCUGGAUAACCGCUUGAAAGGGUGGCUAAUACGGGGUGUUCUGGCUGUGCCGCAUGGUGUGGCUGGGAAAGAUUCACUUUUGUGGUGUUUUGGUGGGGGAUGGGCUCGCGGCCUAUCAGCUUGUUGGGGGGGUGAUGGCCUGCCAAGGCUUUGACGGGUAGCCGGCAUGAGAGGAUGGGCGGUCAAGCUGGGACUGAGAUACGGCCCAGACUCCUGCGGGAGGCAGCAGUGGGGGGUAGUGCACAAUGGGCGGAAGCCUGAUGCAGCGACGUCGCGUGAGGGAUGGAGGCCUUCGGGUUGUGAACCUCUUUCGCCGGUGAAGAAGGUCCUGCUCUUUGUGGUGGGGUUGACGGUAGCCGGGUUAUGAAGCGCCGGCUAACUACGUG